AGUUUUUUGUUUGUUUGUUUGUUUUUUUGUCUUUUUGCCCUUUCUAGGGCCGCACCUGUGGCACAUGGAGGUUCCCAGGCUAGAGGUCUAGCCAGAGCUGCAGCCACCGGCCUACACCAGAGCCACAGCAAUGCAGGAUCUGCGACCUACACCACAGCUCACCACAACGCCGGAUCCUUAACCCACUGAGCGAGGCCAGGGAUCGAACCCGAAACCUCAUGGUUCCUCGUCGGAUUCGUUAACCACUGAACCAUGACAGGAACUCCAGAGUCCAUAUUUUGAGAAAACUUCCCAGGAGAUUCUGGAGAGAGUUAGCCAAGCAUCUCACAGCGGAUCCUGCCUUGGUGCCUGGAAACCACUGCUGUCCACCAUUCAUGUAUGUGGAUUUCAGAACCUUUCCAGAGAGCGAGUUUCAGGGAGAGGAAGCCGUGUGUUCACAAAGAGCCCAUUUUCCUUGCUCCCGCCAUCUGCUCAGUGUGUUAAGUGAGAUAAUGUUUCUCUACCCCUUGGAACGCUUUGUGGUUCCACCGCCUCACUGUGGUUCCCAUCACGUCAGCCUCGAAGGUGGAGUGGCCUGUCAGCACCAUGAACUUCUGCAUGGAGCCACGGAAUCAACUUUAUCUCCUCAGCUUCCGACUCUGCCGUGUGAAUCCAGGCUAGGAGGGUCCCCAGGGCUUAUGGUUAAGAGGUCACAUGGCCAUCUCUUGACGCGGCCAGGAGAUGUUUCCUCUUUAGCAACAGAAGGACACAAAGCCUCCUAGAAUUGCUACUUAAUAUCCAGGAGAUGACAGUAAGCAGACAGGAUGAAUCUAGAGAUUUUUCUUACCUAUGGGAAGCUUGGCGAGGCAUGUGAAAAUCCUGUAAACUAAGUUUAAAAACAAGGGUUUGUUUUGUUCAUUCAUUCCCUUGACAAACAUUUAUUGAGCAUCGCUGACCUUACCCUCUGCUCUCUUGUUUCUUCCAUUCGAGCCACACUGUCCUGUUAUUGUUCUUAGAACAAACCAGGCACCCUCCUGCCUUAAAGGAUGGGCUCUACCUGAUCCUAGGCGGGGAGCACUCUUACCCAGGUCUGCGAGGCUGCCCUCCUUUCCUCCUCCAAGCCUUGCUCACAUGCUGCCUUCUCAAUGAGACUUAACCUGACUACCCUCUUUAACUUUUUUGUUGUUGCUGUCUUUUGAGGGCAGCGCCUGUGGCAUAAGGAAGUUCUCAGGUUAGGGGUUGAAUUGGAGCUGUAGCUGCCAGCUGACACCACAGCCACAGCAACGUUCGAUCCAAGCUGCAUCUGCAGCCUACACUGCAGCUCACAGGAGGGCAGGAUCCUUAACUCACUCAGCAGGGCCAGGGGUUGAACCUGCAUCCUCAUGGAUACCAGUCAGGUUCGUUAUGGCUGAGCCACAACAGGAACUGCUAUUUCGCUUUUUAACACAAGCAGCUUCCCUUCCUGAUCUUGCCCUACCUUUUCAUUUUUCCCUGGAACUUUUCAACUUUUAACAUACCAUGUACUUUAAUUUAAAAAAAAUUUUUAAAUGGAUGUAUAAUUGAUUUACAAUAUUGUGUUAGGUUCUGGUGUGCUGCAAACUCCAAUUUGACCCCUAGCUUGGGAACCUCCAUAUGCCGUGGGAGCGGCCCAAGAAAAGGCAAAAAGACAAAAAGACCAAAAAAAAAUUUGCUAAGAGAGUACAUCUUAAAAGUUCUCAACACAUUCACAAAAUUGUAACUAUGUGUGGUGAUAGAUGUUAAUAAAGUUAUUAUGGUGAUCAUUUCACAAUAUAUAUGUAUAUCAUAUCAUUGCGUUGUACACCUGGACUAAUAUGUUAUGUGUCAGCUAUAUCUCAAUAAGAAGAAGAAAGACUAAGAAAAAUCCACUUGUGAACUCACUUCUGGGAACUCAGUCUUGGAACUGGACGCAGGAGGCAAAACAAGAACCCUUCUUGAGCCUGUGUUCCCAGCUUCAGAGAUGCUCUUUUGAUCAAGCCAUAGAUGAGAUGGUACCUGCGAACUAGGCUUCACACUUGCAGGAAGAAGAUGUGGGAUCCUCCCUCAAGAGGACCAUGGCUCCAUUAAUAAAUUUUCUGAGGACUUAGCGUUCUUUUUGCUUUGCUUCUAUUUUAUUUUGUUUUUGCUCAGGUAACCAGGUUAUGGAGAGGAAAGGCAUAACUUAAUUUGAGGUUCUGAUGGUUGUGAUCAUUUACAAAGGAGGCGGUACUUACCUCAUGAUUUCCCUCUGUAUCUGCCAGGAAAGGCUAAGUUAUGCUGCUGUAACAAACAAGCCCACCAUCUCGAGGGCUUAAAACAAUUUUUCAUAUCACAUAACAUAUCUGUUUGUUGGCUUGGGCAGAAGGGAUUAGCUCAUCAAACCUAGGAUCUUCUGCUGAUGGAGCAGCCCCUGUCUCUAACACUGUGGGUCCACAGACCAGAGGAAAAAGAGAUCUGGAGCAUUUUGCAUUGGCAAUUAAUUGGUCAUAACUCAUUGCCCCAAACUAGUUACAUGACCCCACCCAACCCCAAGAGGAAUAAUAGUUACACUCUUACCAUAUUCCUGGAAAGGAAGAAAACAAGAAAUUUUGGCAAACAGCUUUAAUAGCUAUCAUGCCAAUCCUUGGGUGUAAAACCCUCUCUGAGAUGGGAGUGAUUUUUGCAAGGGUCAGAAAGAGCUUGGAAAUUGUUGUCCUUCUGGCCUUAAACGAGAAAGAUGGACCAAGUCUCUGCCAAGUCUUGGAGGGAAUAACUGGAGGAGGAUCCAUCGUGAAUCCACAUUCUGUUUAUACCCUUGUUUGUUUCUGAUGAAGACUUGUCUUAUGUUCUUGUCACCCUUUUCUUAAUAUACUACACUGAUUUUGGCCAAUUGCAUCUGUCAGGCUAGACUUAGUUUUGCCGUGGUUAUAAAUAGUUUCCAGAUCUCAAGUGCUCACUGUAACAAGUUUAUUUUUCACUCAUGGGACAUAUCCACUCUAGGCAUGGCUAAAUCUGCUCACCUUAGUCACUCAGAGACCCAGGAGCUCUGAGGCUGCAUCACACAUAUGCUUCCACAUCACCCUGCAGUUGGAGAGGAAGAUGGUGAUUCCCAAAACUGCUGUUCAAAUUUCUCCUUGGAAGGGACACACACCACUUAUACUCCAGAUUCAGUGGAGACACCAAGUCACGUGACCAUGUCUGAUUUCAAGAAGGAAGGAAAGUGCAGUCCUAUCAUUGCCUAGAAAGGGGGAAAGCCAGGAAAGUUGGGGAGCAAUCCCACUGACUAUGCCACCGACCAGACACAGAAAAAAGAUUAGAACCCCUCUGGGAUGGAUUUGCUACAUUAAACUCUAGGCAGGCCAGGAUUGGUGACUCAGACAUGGACUUGAGCAGAUGAGGAAGAACUUGACUUUCCCAAAGCAUUGUAAAGUUCAGAACUAUUUUCAUGCUCCUCAAUUUCUGUCUUUACAAAGCCGAGCAUGAAUUAUUAUCCUUAUCUUAAAGAAAAGAGAGGCCUAGAGAAAUGACAUAUUUUUCCAAAUUCCACACAACUUCAAGUGACAAAGGCAGAACAACCACCAGAGCUCUGAUUCAGAAUCAUCUCCCCUCUCUCUGUGCCAGCCAGCGGUGACAGUGACUCCUGAGCCCUCAUCUGUGUGCUAAAGGAAGGAGUGCUGUGGGAGAUUGGAGGGAGUCUAAGCAAUAAGACUGGCCAUUAGUUUGAUGCUUUAAGUAAAAAGAUGCCUAGUUCAUCAAAAACCAAAUUAGAAUUCAAUAUUUAAUAUAGAUUUUUAGACUAGCUAAGCAUGGUCAUUAUAAACAUUUGGAAAAUAUAAAAAAUAUUCAGAAGGAAAAAAAAUUACCCACCCAGAUAUAAAUACGUUUUUCAAAACCUUCUAGUUCAAACAAGGAGUUCCCACUGUGGCACGAUGGGAUUGGCGGUGUCUCCACAGCACCAGGACACAGGUUCGAUCCCUGGCCAGGCACAGUGGGUUAAAGGAUCUGGUGUCGCUGCAGCGGCAGUGUUGAUCUGAUCCCUGGCACAGAGCUUCACAUGGCACAGGGCAGCCCAAAAAGAAAUAAAACAAAAUGACUUUCUUGUUCAAAUAAAAAUUUUAGGCUUGUGAAAAUAUGAAAGAAAUCCAGGGGUACUGCCAUGCAGCUUAAGAACAAGUCAUCUUGGAGUUCCCGUCAUGGCUAAGUAGUUAAUGAACCCGACUAGUAUUCAUGAGGAUGUGGGCUCAAUCUCUCUUGCUCAGUAGGUUAAGGAUCUGGCGUUGCUGUGGCUGUGGUGUAGGCUGGUGGCUGUAGCUCCUAUUGGACCCCUAGCCUGGGAACCUCCAUAUGCACGGGUGUGGCCCUAGAAAGACAAAAAAAAAAAAAAAAAAAAAAAAAAAAA
rnacentral:lncRNA from 1 species